UAUAAUGGGUCAGCGACUUAUAUUCUGUAGCAAGGUUAACCGUAUAGGGGAGCCGCAGGGAAACCGAGUCUUAACUGGGCGUUAAGUUGCAGGGUAUAGACCCGAAACCCGGUGAUCUAGCCAUGGGCAGGUUGAAGGUUGGGUAACACUAACUGGAGGACCGAACCGACUAAUGUUGAAAAAUUAGCGGAUGACUUGUGGCUGGGGGUGAAAGGCCAAUCAAACCGGGAGAUAGCUGGUUCUCCCCGAAAGCUAUUUAGGUAGCGCCUCGUGAAUUCAUCUUCGGGGGUAGAGCACUGUUUCGGCUAGGGGGUCAUCCCGACUUACCAACCCGAUGCAAACUACGAAUACCGAAGAAUGUUAUCACGGGAGACACACGGCGGGUGCUAACGUCCGUCGUGAAGAGGGAAACAACCCAGACCGCCAGCUAAGGUCCCAAAGUCACAGUUAAGUGGGAAACGAUGUGGGAAGGCACAGACAGCCAGGAUGUUGGCUUAGAAGCAGCCAUCAUUUAAAGAAAGCGUAAUAGCUCACUGGUCGAGUCGGCCUGCGCGGAAGAUGUAACGGGGCUAAACUGUGCACCGAAGCUGCGGCAGCGACACUAUGUGUUGUUGGGUAGGGGAGCGUUCUGUAAGCCUGCGAAGGUGGCCUGUGAGGGUUGCUGGAGGUAUCAGAAGUGCGAAUGCUGACAUAAGUAACGAUAAUGCGGGUGAAAAGCCCGCACGCCGGAAGACCAAGGGUUCCUGUCCAACGUUAAUCGGGGCAGGGUGAGUCGACCCCUAAGGCGAGGCCGAAAGGCGUAGUCGAUGGGAAACAGGUUAAUAUUCCUGUACUUGGUGUUACUGCGAAGGGGGGACGGAGAAGGCUAUGUUAGCCGGGCGACGGUUGUCCCGGUUUAAGCAUGUAGGCGGAGGUUCCAGGUAAAUCCGGUACCUUUUAACGCUGAGGUGUGAUGACGAGGCACUACGGUGCUGAAGUAACAAAUGCCCUGCUUCCAGGAAAAGC
rnacentral:rRNA from 1 species